CAGCCCUAAACGAUGCGCGUUAGGUGUAUCGGUGACCACGAGUCACCGAGGUGCCGAAGGGAAACCGUGAAACGUGCCGCCUGGGAAGUACGGUCGCAAGGCUGAAACUUAAAGGAAUUGGGCGGGGGAGCACCACAACGGGUGGAGCCUGCGGUUUAAUUGGACUCAACGCCGGGAAGCUCACCGGAUAAGACAGCGGAAUGAUUGCCGGGCUGAAGACCCUGCAUGAACCAGCUGAGAGGAGGUGCAUGGCGUAGUCGUGU
rnacentral:rRNA from 1 species